CUAGUAGCUGGUUCCUGCCGAAGUUUCCCUCAGGA
rnacentral:rRNA from 11 species